CCUACGGGAGGCAGCAGUGGGGAAUAUUGCGCAAUGGGCGAAAGCCUGACGCAGCGACGCCGCGUGAGGGAUGAAGGUCUUCGGAUCGUAAACCUCGGUCAGCAGGGAAGAACGGUCACUGUGCUAAUCAGCAGUGAAUUGACGGUACCUGCAAAGGAAGCACCGGCUAACUCCGUGCCAGCAGCCGCGGUAAUACGGAGGGUGCGAGCGUUAAUCGGAAUUACUGGGCGGAAAGCGAUCGUAGGCGGUAUGUCAAGUCACGGGUGAAAUCCCCCGGCUCAACGUUGGAACUGCCUUUGAAAACGGGAAACUUGAGUGUGUGGGAGGAUAGUGGAAUUUCUGGUGUAGGAGUGAAAUUCGUAGAUA
rnacentral:rRNA from 1 species